AUUGAACGCUGGCGGCAGGCCUAACACAUGCAAGUCGAGCGGUAGAGAGGUGCUUGCAUCUCUUGAGAGCGGCGGACGGGUGAGUAAUGCCUAGGAAUCUGCCUAGUGGUGGGGGGAUAACGUUCGGAAACGGACGCUAAUACCGCAUACGUCCUACGGGAGAAAGCGGGGGAUCUUCGGACCUCGCGCCAUUAGAUGAGCCUAGGUCGGAUUAGCUAGUUGGUGAGGUAAUGGCUCACCAAGGCGACGAUCCGUAACUGGUCUGAGAGGAUGAUCAGUCACACUGGAACUGAGACACGGUCCAGACUCCUACGGGAGGCAGCAGUGGGGGAAUAUUGGACAAUGGGCGGAAAGACCUGAUCCAGCCAUGCCGCGUGUGUGAAGAAGGUCUUCGGAGUUGUUAAAGGACACUUUAAGUUUAGGGUAGGGAAGGGGACGAGUAAGUU
rnacentral:rRNA from 1 species